GGCCAUCAGCGGUCUAAAGCCCUGCAUUCAGGUAGCAGUCUCCCCUGGAGGCGUGGGUUCGAAUCCCACCUUCUG